CAAGCUUUCGGUCUGUUAGACCUUCAUCAAGGCAGAGUCUUGUCAAGAGUCUUUGCCUUGAUGAGGGUCUAACAGACCGAAAGCUUGCUUCA